CAGUAGCGUAUAUUAAAGUUGUUGCAGUUAAAAAGCUCGUAGUUGGAUUUCUGGCGUGCUGCGCCUGGCCCGCUGGCGUUAGUCAGUGAGUGCCGGAUGCGCGGCUGCCAUCCUUCUAGUGAACGUGUCUUCCCUUCGCUGGGCGGGCUCGCGAACUAGAUCCUUUACUUUGAAAAAAUUAGAGUGUUUAAAGCAGGCAUUGUCGCUGUGAAUACAUUAGCAUGGAAUAAUAAUUUAGGACUUUGGUUCUAUUUUGUUGGUUUCUAGGACUGAAGUAAUGAUUGAUAGGGAGUAGUUGGGGGUGGCUAGUAUUCAAAAGGCCAGAGGUUGAAAUUCUGUGAUUCUUUGAAGACUAACUUAUGCGAAAGCAUUCACCAAGG
rnacentral:rRNA from 1 species